rnacentral:rRNA from 1 species
CUAUCAUUAACUGAAUCCAUAGGUUAAUGAGGCGAACCGGGGGAACUGAAACAUCUAAGUACCCCGAGGAAAAGAAAUCAACCGAGAUUCCCCCAGUAGCGGCGAGCGAACGGGGAGGAGCCCAGAGCCUGAAUCAGCAUGUGUGUUAGUGGAAGCGUCUGGAAAGGCGCGCGAUACAGGGUGACAGCCCCGUACACAAAAGCGCAUGUGCUGUGAGCUCGAUGAGUAGGGCGGGACACGUGGUAUCCUGUCUGAAUAUGGGGGGACCAUCCUCCAAGGCUAAAUACUCCUGACUGACCGAUAGUGAACCAGUACCGUGAGGGAAAGGCGAAAAGAACCCCGGCGAGGGGAGUGAAAAAGAACCUGAAACCGUGUACGUACAAGCAGUGGGAGCCCCACCACCAAAGCAUUUGCUGUACCGCGUUGA